rnacentral:rRNA from 1 species
GUCGAGCGGUAGAGAGAAGCUUGCUUCUCUUGAGAGCGGCGGACGGGUGAGUAAUAGCCUAGGAAUCUGCCUGGUAGUGGGGGAUAACGUUCGGAAACGGACGCUAAUACCGCAUACGUCCUACGGGAGAAAGCAGGGGACCUUCGGGCCUUGCGCUAUCAGAUGAGCCUAGGUCGGAUUAGCUAGUUGGUGAGGUAAUGGCUCACCAAGGCGACGAUCCGUAACUGGUCUGAGAGGAUGAUCAGUCACACUGGAACUGAAACACGGUCCAGACUCCUACGGGAGGCAGCAGUGGGGAAUAUUGGACAAUGGGCGAAAGCCUGAUCCAGCCAUGCCGCGUGUGUGAAGAAGGUCUUCGGAUUGUAAAGCACUUUAAGUUGGGAGGAAGGGCAGUUGCCUAAUACGUAACUGUUUUGACGUUACCGACAGAAUAAGCACCGGCUAACUCUGUGCCAGCAGCCGCGGUAAUACAGAGGGUGCAAGCGUUAAUCGGAAUUACUGGGCGUAAAGCGCGCGUAGGUGGUUUGUUAAGUUGGAUGUGAAAUCCCCGGGCUCAACCUGGGAACUGCAUUCAAAACUGACUGACUAGAGUAUGGUAGAGGGUGGUGGAAUUUCCUGUGUAGCGGUGAAAUGCGUAGAUAUAGGAAGGAACACCAGUGGCGAAGGCGACCACCUGGACUAAUACUGACACUGAGGUGCGAAAGCGUGGGGAGCAAACAGGAUUAGAUACCCUGGUAGUCCACGCCGUAAACGAUGUCAACUAGCCGUUGGAAGCCUUGAGCUUUUAGUGGCGCAGCUAACGCA